UACGUAGGGGGCGAGCGUUGUCCGGAGUUACUGGGCGUAAAGGGCGUGCAGGCGGUGCGGUAAGUUUAGCGUGACAGUCUCCGGCUUAACUGGAGAAGGCCGCUGAAAACUGCUGGACUUGAGGGCCAGAGAGGGACAUAGAAUCCGGGGUGGAGUGGUGAAAUGCGUAGAUAUCCGGAGGAAUACCAAAGGCGAAGGCAGUGUCCUGGCUGGCAACUGACGCUGAGGCGCGAAAGCUAGGGGAGCGAACAGG
rnacentral:rRNA from 1 species